GAUGAACGCUGGCGGCGUGCCUAAUACAUGCAAGUCGAGCGAACGGACGAGAAGCUUGCUUCUCUGAUGUUAGCGGCGGACGGGUGAGUAACGCGUGGAUAACCUACCUAUAAGACUGGGAUAACUUCGGGAAACCGGAGCUAAUACCGGAUAAUAUUUUGAACCGCAUGGUUCAAAAGUGAAAGACGGUCUUGCUGUCACUUAUAGAUGGAUCCGCGCUGCAUUAGCUAGUUGGUAAGGUAACGGCUUACCAAGGCAACGAUGCAUAGCCGACCUGAGAGGGUGAUCGGCCACACUGGAACUGAGACACGGUCCAGACUCCUACGGGAGGCAGCAGUAGGGAAUCUUCCGCAAUGGGCGAAAGCCUGACGGAGCAACGCCGCGUGAGUGAUGAAGGUCUUCGGAUCGUAAAACUCUGUUAUUAGGGAAGAACAUAUGUGUAAGUAACUGUGUACAUCUUGACGGUACCUAAUCAGAAAGCCACGGCUAACUACGUG
rnacentral:rRNA from 1 species